rnacentral:lncRNA from 1 species
AUGAACGAAGGAUUUCAUUUCACACACAUUCUACUUUAUUUCUUACAGAGGAUGAAUACCAGAGGGCCAUUUACGGACCACGCCGUACAUUUGCAGAUGAUCUAAAUGCUCGUCUAGUUAAUACGGUUUUGAGCGACGAUUCAAGUGCAUCCCCAGUAUUUGUCUGCGUCCAGAUACUUGUCAAAGGGGGUGCUUUCGGAUUAGCUGAGCUUAUGUUCACUGAUCAACCCAGUGUGAGUCUUGUCAGUAAUGGAGCGGAAUGCGUGGUUCUCUCCAAGCAGUUCUUUCUGGAGCACGCGCCGGAGCAUCUCAUACAUCAAAUCAGACUUACGGUGACGCCGUAUGCCAGCGUGCAUGAACUCCAAGUCAAUUUCGAGAAAGAGCUCUCCUGGAAACAUUACCGUGAUGUCACUCUCCGGAAGACAGUGAACAAACUUCGGACAGAAAGGGUUACAUUCAAUAAACUUAAUCAUUCAUUAUAAUCUCUAUAACAAAUUCCCCGGUGCCCCCACCCCGUCAGCGUUGCCCCAGCAAUCAAGAACCCCACUUCAUGCUUCAUGAAGCAUUUGUGGGGAGGCACGUGCCCCCAGGCCUCCCGGUGGCUACGCCACUGUUACUGUUCAAUAUUGACUCUGCCCCAAUUAAAAUGCCUCAAAGGACACUUAAUUAAAAAUGAGCUUAACAGAGCCGUCUUGAACAAAGGUGGUUAGAUGUUCCUAUAUAUGGACUAUAAUAUGGACGCAGUGUCUCUAGCAGGUUUGAUUUGUGUUUGUCAACGUCCGUGUGUUGUACUUUGCGUGUACCGUUCGUACCUGUAGUGCCCUGUCGUGUAAAUAAAUAAUACAUAGGUUAAGUCUCGUCUCUUUAUUAUUUUACGCGACACUGUUUUUUUUUUCUAAUGCCUUCGACGUGUGACUUGCACCCUGCAAAUUUUGAAAAAGCGCUUUUUGCCACUGAUCGCCUGGACAUAAAGGCUGCAGUAUUUUUGCUAUAAGCAAAAUUUCUAAAAUUUUCCACGGGAAAACCAAGUCUCGGUACGGUGAUGGUCUCCGAGAGAGCCAGGCAUCCGAUCUGCCAACAUACCGUAAGUUUGAGGUUCUGAUUUUAUGAAAUUUUCUGUUAUUUCCUGUGUUCUAAAUUUGAUCUUGAGUACAUGUACCACUUCCAGUCGAUGUAAGUGACCACAGAGGAUGCACUGUUUCCAAUCAGGAACUGAUUUAUGGGGAUAUUAUAAAUAUUUCUUUAUUACAUAAUGACUAAGUGGACUAAAUUUGUGGUAUGAUCCAGUAGCUUUGGGGCGAUGUCUUUAGGCGAUUGGUAUACAUGCAAUUGUUUGUAUUUAAUGUUAUCACUACCUCAAUCGGCAUUAAUCUAGGCUUUUGAAUUAUUAUCCGAAUGUACGUUACAUAUUUCAUAUGGCAUCCAGGGCUGCAUGAGCCAUUAGCCCUAGUGAUUAAAGUGCCGAAUUGUGAUCUCCAUUGCCCUACCGACUGCCUGGGGCAGACAGGCCGGAGGCUGGCUGUAGGCGAGCCGGAACACCGACUGUCACCGCCACUAAGGACCUAGCCAAGCGUGACGUCGCCGACACUUUUCCGGCUACCUAUUCAGAGGUUCUGGCGCAAGGUUCAGGCCGACGGUUCGGGCAAAGGGACGGCCUUUGACGCGGAAAGCGUAUCUUACUCGCGGUGGGCCCUACAUAAAUGAGGUUUUUUCUCAAUCUGAUUGCCGGCUUAGUGAGGUUUCAAUAAUUAAUAAGCGAAGGAUUAAACAAAAUAAAUGAUUAUAAUUUUCUUUAUUUCUUUACAAGUAAGAAGAAAUUGCAGCGAAGGAUUAAACAAACUAAUUGAUUAUAAUUUUCUUUAUUUCGUUACAACCAAGAAGUCAAUGCAGAAGCCAUUUAAACUUCUUUCAGUUAUACACCUUGCUUCGUGUUCCGAACGCGGACUAUUAUAGACAUAAUUCGGUCUUACGUGAAAUGCUCCAUUAUUAACUUUUGUAAAUAUUUGUAGAUACUAACAGAUAAUUAAUUUGGUGUGUUUUG